GAAACUAUUAUGGACUGUGAAGCAAGACCCUUAUUUUGAUCGUCUGAUUUUUGGUUCCACGGUGACUUUGAGGAUCAAAGUAAGCUGGUGAGUGCGAAAUUUGAAACGGACUGAAAGGAGGACCCGACCCGUUGUGAGGGGAGGCUAAGUGAAAAGAUUAUGGGUGGCUCCAUAUAAAAGGCGGGCACCAGCUCUAUACUCCCUUUUAUUACUCCAUAUAUUUUUCUCGUUCUCGUUGGUCUCCAAAUUGGGGUAGAAAAGAAUGAGGGAGGAGGUUAUCAGCUCCGGCGGCACCAUUGAUCCCACUCCUGCUGCCAGUUCUGCGGGGGCCUCUUCACCUGCUGUUCCGACGAAUGUUGGAAGCAUAGAUUGGUCCAGUCAUGGUCAUGGCUCCAAAGCUGCUUCUUUAUCUUGCAUUGGUUCACAACAGCCUCGGACUUCCUUGAGCACAAGUGCUGGUGGUUCUGCUCUUGGGUCAUCACGAACUUCAUGCAGGCCCUGGGAAAGAGGGGAUUUACUAAGGCGCUUGGCUACCUUUAAGCCUUCAAAUUGGUUUGGAAAGCCAAAGGUUGCCAGCUCAUUGGCUUGUGCUCAGAGAGGUUGGAUAAAUGUCGAUGUUGAUAAGAUUAUGUGUGAAUCAUGUGGUGCAUACUUAAGUUUUGUCUCAUUACCAUCUGGGACACCUGCUGAAGUUGAUAGUGCUGGUGAAGCCUUUGGGAAGGAGCUGGAUACUGAGCACAAAGUUAAUUGUCCAUGGAGAGGAAAUAGCUGCCCAGAAAGCAUGGUGCAGUUUCCCCCAACUCCUCAGUCAGCCCUGAUUGGUGGUUACAAGGACAGAUGUGAUGGCCUUUUGCAGUUCCCAUCUCUUCCUAUUGUAGCUGCAUCUGCAGUUGAGCAGAUGCGGGCUUCUCGUGGCUCACAGAUCGAGCGCCUUUUGUCCCAAUCUCAAAAUUUUAUGGGUGGGGAAGUAGAUUUUCGAUCUGAGAGUAUACCAGAACUUGAAGCCUCCCGAGAUGGGGUGAUCUAUUUAUAUUCUCGGGCCCAGAAACUUAUAAGCCUGUGUGGAUGGGAGCCAAGAUGGCUUCCAAAUGUUCAAGACUGCGAAGAGCAUUCUGCUCAAUCAGCUAGAAAUGGAUGUUCUUUUGGCCCUACCCAAGCACAAGUUCAUCUUUCACUGGAUCCUGGACCGAGCAAGAAUGCAGUCUCUGCUUCAGCAAAAAAAGACACUGGAAAGAAUAAAAUGUUAGCUGUGGAGUCCAGAUGUGAAUCUAGGUCUCCUUUGUUAGAUUGUAGUCUGUGUGGUGCUACUGUCAGAAUAUGGGAUUUCCUUACUGUUCCUCGACCUGCUCGUUUUGCUCCCAACAGCAUUGAUAUUCCUGAUACAAGCAAAAAAAUGGCAUUGACACGUGGGGCAAGUGCAGCCAGUGGAGUCAGUGGCUGGGUCGCUGCUGAUGAUAUGGAGAAAGAACAGACCGAAGAUCGUGAUGAAGUUGCUACCACUAAUGAGGGAAAAUUACUCCCAAACACGGAUGUUGAUUUGAAUCUUACAAUGGCUGGAGGCUUAUCUUUUACUCAGAUGGGUAGGACAGCAAUGUCUGAAAAUAUGCAUGAUGCUGAUAUGGGAAGGGAUCUAAUGAUAGGACAGCCUUCUGGUAGUGAGGUUGGUGAUCGUGCAGCAUCAUAUGAAUCACGGGGCCCAAGUUCUCGUAAGCGGAGUUUGGAAAUAGGUGCCAGUUCAGAUGAUAGGCCACACUUAAGGAUGCAGCAGGCUGAUAGCAUUGAAGGAACUGUCAUUGAUCGUGAUGGUGAUGAAGUCACAGAUGGUAGACAAUACUCAGCUGGACCUUCAAAACGUGCUCGUGACUCUGAUAUAUUUGACACAUACUGUUCACCAUAUAAUAGAGACUCAUCCGGUGCUGGCCCAAGCCAUUCAUUGGGUUUUGAAAUUUAUGCAGAUGCCAACAAAGGAGUUCCAUUUCGACAAGGAAGUGAUCAAGUUGUUGGAAUUUCAUCUGCUAGAGAUUCAACACGUGCAUCAUCUGUUAUUGCCAUGGAUACAAUUGGCCACAGUGCAAAUGAAAACUCUAUGGAAAGUGUUGAAAACUAUCCUGGUGAUAUUGAUGAUGUUCAGUUCCCUUCUUCUAGCAUAUAUGGUAACCUGGAUAUGAAUGACACAUCUGAAAUGAAUUAUAGUAAUCAAGCACAGCAGAGCAUUUGUUUCCAACCUGCUGCUGAAGUAGUUCCUGGAGAAAUGGGGGUCAGCAGUACUAAUGAUGGUGAAGAAAUCUUCAAUGCAGAAAUUGUGACUGCUCAAGCUAGGGAUGGGUUUAGUUUUGGAAUUAGUGGAGGAAGUGUUGGGAUGUGUGCCAGUCAUGAAGCUGAAAUUCAUGGAACAGAUAUAUCUGUCCAUAGAGCAGAUAGUGUUGUUGGUGACGUGGAACCAAGAACAGAAGAUGCUGAAAAUCAGGGUCAGACAGGGGAAUCUGCCCCAGGCCCUGGGCUAAUGGAUGAGAUUGUCCCCGAGGAAAUGAACAGGGAGGAUCCUCAUGGUGAUAGUCAGGAGAUGUUAUCUCGAUCUGUAGGCAGGGCGGAUAGUGGCUCAAAAAUUGAUGGUUCUGCCAAGGCUGAAUCUGUUGAAAGUGGUGAGAAGAUUGGUCAAAGCCACAAGUUACCUCAAGAAAACAACAACCUCCCUUCUUUUUCUUGCAAUGCCAUUGUGUACUCUGGUCAGGAAACAUCCAAGAAAGAGGUUACAAGGGGUGGGAAAGCAUCACUUAGAAAAGACUCUGAAGACCUAGAGUUAGAUUAUGCAGCUGCGAAUGGGAUUGGUCCACCAAAAGGGGAAAGCAACUAUGAAGAAGCUAUAGAAUUUGAUCCAAUCAUCCAUCACAACCAAUUCUGCCCUUGGGUGAAUGGAAAUGUUGCUGCUGCUGGCUGUAGUAAUGGUGGUUCCAGUUCCACUGCAGACAUUGUUGCCCAUUGUGGGUGGCAGCUGACAUUAGAUGCUUUAGAUGCCUUGAGAUCACUGGGGCAUCUUCCCAUCCAAACAGUACAAUCGGAGUCAGCAGCAUCUUUAUACAAGGACAAUCACCAAACUCCUGGUGGAAAACUGCGGGGACCCCAAUCAGCAAGCAAAAGCCAUGGGCAGCCUUGAGAUUCAAUCUCAAAGUCAGAGGUACUUUCAGUUAUUGGUAAAUAGGUCAUGUUAUCGUCAUAGAAAGAUUGCUCAUUCUUCGCCCAGUUUUGCAUCUACUUCCAAAUUAUCCUGAGCCUCAGAAUAAAUUAUUUGAUGCCAUGGGAAAAUCUGAUAUUACUUCUUAAUGGCAAAAUUACUUCCAAUUUUGGUAAAUAGGCCAUGCUAUUUUCAUAGAAUGAUUUCUUAUCACCACCCCCUAGUGAUGUCGCCAUUUCCAAAUAAUCUUGAUUGUUCCAGAGGUAUUUUGUGCUGCCACCCCAAGCCCUACAUAAAGUAUUCAACCCUAUUAAAAGAGAAGGGGGGAACAUUCCAUGUACACAGCAUGUAUGCAACUUACAAAAGGGGUAGGCCAUGGGACACCCCAAUCAAUAUGAAAAAGGACUCUUAGAAAUAAAGGAAACCAAUUCUACACUUCUAGCCCACCAGAAAAUGACCACAUGAGAAAUGUCUUUCAAGUUAUGCACAUCCAAAAAUGCAUUUUGACCAUGAUGCAAAUAGAAGCAUGCAACUUCCAAAUUGCUGUCAUACAACCAAUCAACCAACCCACUUAUUUGCCAAGUUUCUAUUCAGCUGCCAUGGAAGAAUCCAUUAUCCCAGAAAGCAAAAAGAUCAAACUGCAUAUGUUUUAACUUUAGCUUUCAUAAGAGAAAUGUUUCAUUUGUUAAUGUCCUAUAUCAAGAUGCUGAGUCCAACUGAAAUUUUUUGCCGUAAUCUGUGGUACUAGGUAUCUUUGUUUUUUGCAGUCCAAGGGUUUCAUAGUGUUGCUAGUUCCAUGUGUUUAAGAGGUGUUCAAACAUUUUUAAACCAAGCAAUAGAUGCAUGGACUAGUGAUUUGGUCAUUUAUCUAAUUCUUAUGAGAACUUGAAUCAGCUUCAUUGUCAUGAAAUGCCCUGAUGUCCAUCAGCUCUAAAGACUUCAAUAAUGUAUUCAACUGAGUAAUUCUUGUUUCUCUUGAUCUAGAGCCACUUAAUGUCAUUUUUAUUUUAUUUGAAUUUCUGUUUCCAAAAAUACCAAUCCAGGAGCAGCAGCAUCCAACUCUUCUCCAGACAAUUCUGGGAUGAGAGACUGCAGGCAGUGGUGGAAACAAUAGGGAAUCAGGUCCCUGGAUGGAGUUCAUUGCGAUUGCAGCUGCUGCUGGAGGAGAAAUCUGGCAGUCUCAGUUAAUUUUCAUGGUUGAAUCGUUAGGGUAAUUUACAUUUUGUUAAAAAAAUUUAGGUACUUAUUUAUGACUAAAACUCUCGUCUCUUGGACUUUCUGAGUUUGUCUUUUCCAUUAGUAAGUGAAUGGUUGUGUGAUAGACUGUGAACUAGAUUGACAGGGCAUAUAUGGAUGUUUUUGAAAGCAGCAAUUUUCAACUGGUGAUGAUAAAACAGCUGGUAAUGUUAGGGGUAUUAUUAUUCAAGAUAUUUUGUUGA